GAAUGUAGAUGAAAAGAGAGAGAUGCGUCAACACACCUCUCUAGUGUAGAGCCGUUUGAGACGGUGACCUUUUGGAUUAAUUAAAAA
rnacentral:sRNA from 1 species